UACAGAGGUCCCAAGCGUUGUUCGGAUUCACUGGGCGUAAAGGGUGCGUAGGUGGCCGGGUAAGUCUGACGUGAAAUCUCCGAGCCUAACUCGGAAACUGCAUCGGAUACUAUCCGGCUUGAGGGUUGGAGGGGGGACUGGAAUACUUGGUGUAGCAGUGAAAUGCGUAGAUAUCAAGUGGAACACCAGUGGCGAAGGCGAGUCCCUGGACAACUCCUGACACUGAGGCACGAAAGCUAGGGGAGCAAACGGG
rnacentral:rRNA from 1 species